GGGCCCGCACAAGCAGCGGAGCAUGUGGUUUAAUUCGAAGCAACGCGAAGAACCUUACCUAGACUUGACAUCUCCUGAAUAGCGUAGAGAUACGUGAAGCCCUUCGGGGCAGGAAGACAGGUGGUGCAUGGUUGUCGUCAGCUCGUGUCGUGAGAUGUUGGGUUAAGUCCCGCAACGAGCGCAACCCUUAUCAUUAGUUGCUACCAUUAAGUUGAGCACUCUAGUGAGACUGCCCGGGUUAACCGGGAGGAAGGCGGGGAUGACGUCAAAUCAUCAUGCCCCUUAUGUCUAGGGCUACACACGUGCUACAAUGGUGAGAACAACGAGAUGCAAUACCGCGAGGUGGAGCCAAACUUGAAAACUCAUCCCAGUUCGGAUUGUAGGCUGAAAUUCGCCUACAUGAAGUUGGAGUUGCUAGUAAUCGCGAAUCAGAAUGUCGCGGUGAAUACGUUCCCGGGCCUUGUACACACCGCCCGUCACACCAUGAGAGCUGGUAACACCCGAAGUCCCGUGAGGUAACCUUUAUGGAGCCAGCGGCCGAAGGUGGGAUUAGUGAUUGGGGUGAAGUUCGUAACAGGUAGCCGUAGGAGAACCUGCGGCUGGAUCAC
rnacentral:rRNA from 1 species